GUGCAACUUAAAGAAGCUAUUGAAGGUCUUCCUGGUAAAAUGAAUGCUGAAUUAGCAGAAUCCGGGUUGAACUUGAGUUCUGGACAGAGACAAUUGGUGUGUCUUGCUAGGGCUAUCCUCAGAGAAAUCGGAUAUUGAUUAUUGACAAAGCCACAUCGAAUGUGGAUCCAAGAACUGAUGAGUUAAUACAAAAAACAAUUCAUGAGAAAUUUUCCCAGUGCACUGUGCUAACCAUCACACACAGUUUGAGCAACGUCAUUGACUGUACACGGAUAAUGGUUUUGGAUUCAGGGAGACUUAAAGAAUAUGAUAACCCAUAUGGUUUGCUGCAAAAUAAAGACAAACUAUUUUAUAAGAUGGUACAACAACUGGGUGAGACCGAGGCUGCUGCCCUCACUGAAAGGGCAAAACAGGUGAGCCUGCUGUGGGAAGUUGUAAUUAAAGUUCAUCUCCAGGGUUCACCCUUCACAUGAGUUCCACCAGGGGUCUGAUAACAAGCACUCUGUGCCCUUAUAAGCCUCCAGAGAGGAAGCUUCAUGACUGGGUCUUAACAACACAUGGCAGAUAGAAGGCAGGUCUGCUGAGAAUCUGCAGCAGUGCUGUGAGUGGGGUCGGGAUAUGUGCUCUUCUGUGUGACCACACCUGUGCCUGAGAGAGAGAUGUCAAAUUGGACUUUCCACAUUUUGGACCCUGGAUUCAGAUUCUAGAGAGAACAGAA
rnacentral:lncRNA from 1 species